AGACUGGAUAGAAGCUGGGAGCAGAGUGGU
rnacentral:piRNA from 1 species